rnacentral:lncRNA from 1 species
CUGCGAGUGUGUGUGCCGAACGAGGAGCAAGGAGCUUGUGCGAGCGAGUGUGCGAGCGGGGGUGCGCGUGUGAGUGUGCGUGCGCGUGGCGCGGGCGCCGUCUCUGCUCGGAGCCUGGCCGGGCCGGGGUCCGCGGGCUUCAGCGCGUGCGCUCGGCCUGCGGGGAGCCCAGGUCCCACGCGGCCCGCAACCAGACAGGGCUGCGAAGGUGCAGGCGGGCCAAGCGCUGCGGACCCGGCGGGCUGCAGGAAGAACUAACUAUAUCCCGAACAUCCGCUGUCAGCAGGCACAAGGCUGUGAUUCAAGAUGAGUGCCCGAAGCUUCCUCUGCGUGUGUGAAGAAGAUCCAGCAAGAGAAGGAAGCAGGGUUCCUGAAAGCCAGGCUGAUGAGGAAAACUCCUGUGCUGAGUUAACGUGGGCGUCUGAGUGGGCAGAGUCAGUGUAUGAACAGCACAGGUGCCCACCCCACCCCCACCCUGGCGGGAAUACUCUAUGAGGUCAAAGCUGGUCCCUGUGUCUUCAAGGACACAAGCCAAUUUAAAGAGAAAUCAUUCAGUUAAAAAGAAAGUUUAGAUCCGCUCCCACUGGUGCAGACUGAUUGGUUAAUAUCAUCUCAACUUAGCAUGUUCUGAAAAUAAGGGUUACUAACCUUCACAGACAACCAGUGGUCUCAGGGAGCCACGAAGCUGUCUCAGGACUGCACACAAGGCACAUACAGGUGAAGCUGGAUACGAGUCAGACCUGUGUACUAACUCCCUGCAACCGAGGGGGGAGGAAGUGACCACGUCAUCUCAUUGGCUCUGCAGAUCCAAGUCAACUCAAACGGCAAGCACGGCCCAGAGUUGGAUGCACCCUCAGAUUCAACAGCCGACCACUGGCAUCCCUUUUUCCCCCUUCCUCGGUGGUACAUGGAAUAAAAACACACCCCGGGCUUGCUGGAAUACCAAGGAAACAUUCAUGCCCAUGGAGAGAGGAGCCUUCACUAACCUUGAGUGGGAGAGAAUCAGCCAGGGCCUCUGAGGCACAUGGAAAUACUUGUCUUAAGUAGUUGGCUCUUAGAAAUCACAGCCCAGAUGCCUGAAGCAGAAGGAGAAGCACCUGUAGUGGCUGUCACCCUGCAGGCACCUCUGUUACUGGAGUCACCAAGAAAUAGUAUUACGGGAGUCUUGGAAGUGAGAGAGCUCCUCUAAGGAGAGACCCAGGAACCUGUUGCUAAGGGGCCAGCAUGUAGGGUCCCUGCUGGGCCUGCAUAGAAGGAGCCCGGUGCUUAGUGGUUCCUUCCUGAAGCCUAGGCUAAGGAUUCUAUAUGGCUUCAUCCUCCGCUCUACUCAAGCAAAGACAAGCUUCAACUGCUGGGCCUAAGGCACAUGGAGCUCAACUCAACAACUGGGAAUGGAGGACCCCUCCAGAGACCCAGAAGACCCCCGCCCGGGGGGGUGACAUCAGUUGGGGAGCUAUUAAUAACUGCCCUCCCCUCCUUGUCAUAUUUCCUGAACUGUGUGGGGAAGGCGAUUGUGAGGCGCUCUGCUGGAAUUUGGCAGCGCGGAGGCUUGGAGAGCAGCCCCAUGCUGGCUCCUAUUCAGCCGGCCAGUUUUCCUCGAGCUUUGGAAGUUUCACUCAGCCGUGCACUCAAUGGCUUCACAAAGCUGAUUACAAGCUUCAGCGCAUUCCUGAAGGAGCCAAAAGCGACGCAGGUGCAAACGAGCCGAGGGAGCCCCUUAUCCCGGUGACAGAAUGGGACAAGCUGGGAAAGGCUUGGACCACACAAAUCCAAGGCUCACCAGGCAGCAGAGAGCCUGCCUUGGGAACCGGGGGUCAUUAUCCGCCCUAUUCAGCGGGACCGGGGACCCUGGGGCCAGGGAGGCCGGCCGGGCGCAAGCGCCACCGCCAGUACGCGCCUGCAGCAGUGGGGACCCCGCUGGGCGUUGCAACCCGUCGGGAUGUUGGGCGCUGCGUUUGUUCCCACCGACAGCGGUCCGCGAAAUCCAUCCUGCGGGUGAAAGCCGGUGUCCAGGCUAACCGGGAUACAGGAGAAGGAGGGUAGCGAAGAUGCUCAGUGCGUGGACAGUGCGUAACUUUGUCUCCAUCACAGUCACUUAUCUGGAAACCUGCGGCUGGAUUAAUCGCUAUAUUCCCAAGAUGAGCGGUGCUGCAAUCCGCAGUGAACACGGGUGGGAACACGGAAGCUUCCCCUAGGUUCUUGCGGGGGCCAGCAGCUGGCCAGCUCCCUGCAGUGGAUGCUGCACAGUUGCUAGCACCUGUUUGGGCUCGGGUUGGGGGUCUACGAGCACUUAGGCGCACAGAAGAUGUGGAAGAGAGGAAGGAAACAGGCCUGUGGGGACUCAGGCCUGAGAGAGGUUGAUUAGCUCUCAGUAAAGGCACAGAACUGCCUAUGUAAAGAGCUUUUUAACCUGAAAAUGAUGCUGCUGAGUCUUCAGUCCGUGGUCUAUUCAGAUGCAGACAAAUGUUCCCUCCCAUCUUGAUCUCCCAGCCUCACCCCUACCACACCCACAGCUACUCCUUAGGCCCCUCCCCUGGAAUUUUCUCCUUCGGGAUCCUGGUCCUACAAGAGUUAGUAAUAUUUACUUAGGAACUGUGGGCGUGGAAAUAAAUCCUAGUUGUUCAGCCCCUUGCCCUACCUGUUCCAGUUAAAGACGGUGGGUUGUAGCCAGGCAGUGGUGGCGCACGCCUUUAGUCCCAGCACUUGGGAGGCAGAGGCAGGCGGAUUUCUGAGUUUGAGGCCAGCCUGGUCUACAGAGUGAGUUCCAGGACAGCCAGGGCUGUACAGAGAAACCCUGUCUCGAAAAACCUAAAAAAUAAAAUAAAAUAAAUAAGAUGGUGGAGUGUGUGGUGCCAAAGCUCUAGGGAGAAUACUUGUCUACAAAAACUUUCUCUGCUGAGGUCAAAGCAUCAGCUUCGAGGGAACUACCACUUGGUGCGUGAGGUUUCUGCGCCUGGGCAACGGUGUCUCUGUAGGUGUGAAAGCUGGGCAUCAGCUUGUGACAGCUUUAGGCCACAGAAGCCGAAACUGUGCGCCUCCAUUUUGUCAGCAUAUUAAACAUCCGAGAGGUGCCUGGCCACCACAUAUGGCCCCUGAGCAUCCAACAUUCACAAUGUCACACACACUAGAUUUAGAGCUGCUGAAUGAGAAGGAGAUCAUUGAUUUGAGAUGUUGGCGACAGAAAUGACAGUGCUUGGGAUGUGUUGGGUUAAAGAAAACACAUUAUUAAAGUGAGCCUCACUGCCGGCUGCUCUUGGAAACCACUGUGGCCUUGGUAGCUCCUCUUUGCUGGCUCUGUGCCUUUCAGCGGCUGUCUGUGGUCUUUCCAUGAUCCUCUAGGAAAUGGAAAAGGAAGAAGCAAAUGCAGUGGAAAGGACUGAGCCUUCGAUCACUAGAGGCAGCCAGAGCCCCUCCCAGCUCCUCUCAAAGUUACCCUUGUAACAAUCAAAGCUUCCUCACUCGCAGCAGUAAAAAGAAGUAUACAUUCUAUUUAUUGCUGGAGUGGUAUUCUUUCUAGAUUAGCUUUAAUUCUGUUUAAUUACAUUGCGAUCAUUAACCGAGCUGCAACUUUUUUGUUAUUAGAUACUUUCUUUAUUUACAUUUUAAAUGUUAUCCCCCUUCCUAGUUUCCCCUAUGAAAACCCCCUAUCCCAUCCCCACUCCCCCUGCUCCCCCAAUCCACCCACUCCCGCUUCCGUGUCUUGGCAUUCCCCUACACUGGGGCAUCGAGCCUUCAUAGGACCAAGGGCCUCUCCUCCCAUUGAUGUCCAACAAGGCCAUUCCCUGCUACGUGUGCGUGCCCCGUGCUUUCACUGCUCUGUGAGUGGGCUGUGGGGGAAAGGUGGUGCUGAAUUUCAUCCGAUCGUGAAUGUCACUGUGCUGAGCAUCCAGUGUGAAUGACCAGGGCUCUACAGUCUAGAGCCCUUGUCAUGUGUGGACCACGGCAGGUGCCCACACACUCAUCUCGAAAACAGAAAGAAGUGAAAGUAAUUUUAGAAGCAGUGUCUGAGAAUUUGAAUGUAUUUACAGACAGGAAGCCAUGGGUCCCUCCAUGUGGAGAUACAGAGACAAAGUGUGGAGCAGAGACUGAAGAAAAGGCCAUCCAGAGACUGACCCACCUGGGGAUCCAUCCCAUAUACAGCUACCAAACUCAGAUACUAUUGUGAAUGCCAACAAGUGUGCAACUUUUGAAGAAUCUUGCUACUACUGUUGGAUGGAGGAACGUUGAUUCUAGGAGUGACUGUGCAAAUCCCAUGGCAUUGCAAGGAAGCCUCUCCCUGCUAUUUUCAAACUUUUAGUCAGCACUUGACACUUUCUGGCUUUAAUUUUGCCUUACAAAUGAGUGUAACUGCCACCACUCAAACAAAACAGAAUUCUGAACAGAAAUUUGUCUUUUGUUGUCUGUACCAACCAAGAGUGAGUUCCUUCUCAAAAUUCCUUUUGGGGCUAACAUACACAUUUAGAAUGAUAUGAAAUGAGACUUAAACCAAGGAGGCCAUGAGGGAACAUGCUUAUAAAUGUCUAUUUUACAUGUAUUCAUUUACAUUUAUUCAUGCACUGGCAGUGUGCUUGCCAUGGUGAAUACGGAGGUUAGAAGACAGUCUUCAGGAGUCACUCCUCUCCUUCCAACCUGUGGGUCCCAGGGAUCUAACUCAGGCCACCUGGCUUGGCACCAACUGCCUUUGAGAUGUUGAACCAUCUUGCCAAUUCAAGUAAACUUGAUUAUUAAAGAUUCCAAAAUACUCUGUAUAAUAUUUUAGAUACCAGAGGUCUGAAAGUGAAAUUGUAAAAAGUAGAAAUUUUAUUUAGUCAUUUGGUGAUAAAAAAUGAAAAAAACCUGCUCCAUGCUUAUUGUCCUUAAUAUAUUCAAUUAAAGCACACCAUGAAAAUUUUACAUGAAUAGGCUUGGCGUACAUACAAUAUCAUUCAAUUUAUUUACUGUAGGUAUUGUAUAACUAAUAUGAAAAAAAUGGGAAAAUGUGAAGUUAAAUCCACUACAUCAAUAAAGUGAAAGUAUCUCAGAGAUAAAUUUUGAAUAAAA